GAUGAACGCUGGCGGCGUGCUUAACACAUGCAAGUCGAACGGUGAAGCAGAGCUUGCUCUGUGGAUCAGUGGCGAACGGGUGAGUAACACGUGAGCAACCUGCCCCUGACUCUGGGAUAAGCGCUGGAAACGGCGUCUAAUACUGGAUAUGAGCUGCGACCGCAUGGUCAGCAGUUGGAAAGAUUUUUCGGUCUGGGAUGGGCUCACGGCCUAUCAGCUUGUUGGCGAGGUAAUGGCUCACCAAGGCGUCGACGGGUAGCCGGCCUGAGAGGGUGACCGGCCACACUGGGACUGAGACACGGCCCAGACUCCUACGGGAGGCAGCAGUGGGGAAUAUUGCACAAUGGGCGAAAGCCUGAUGCAGCAACGCCGCGUGAGGGAUGACGGCCUUCGGGUUGUAAACCUCUUUUAGCAGGGAAGAAGCGAAAGUGACGGUACCUGCAGAAAAAGCGCCGGCUAACUACGUG
rnacentral:rRNA from 1 species